rnacentral:rRNA from 1 species
GAGGAGCUUGCUUCUCUGGAUGAGUUGCGAACGGGUGAGUAACGCGUAGGUAACCUGCCUGGUAGCGGGGGAUAACUAUUGGAAACGAUAGCUAAUACCGCAUAAUAGUAGAUGUUGCAUGACAUUUGCUUAAAAGGUGCAAUUGCAUCACUACCAGAUGGACCUGCGUUGUAUUAGCUAGUUGGUGAGGUAACGGCUCACCAAGGCGACGAUACAUAGCCGACCUGAGAGGGUGAUCGGCCACACUGGGACUGAGACACGGCCCAGACUCCUACGGGAGGCAGCAGUAGGGAAUCUUCGGCAAUGGACGGAAGUCUGACCGAGCAACGCCGCGUGAGUGAAGAAGGUUUUCGGAUCGUAAAGCUCUGUUGUAAGAGAAGAACGAGUGUGAGAGUGGAAAGUUCACACUGUGACGGUAUCUUACCAGAAAGGGACGGCUAACUACGUGCCAGCAGCCGCGGUAAUACGUAGGUCCCGAGCGUUGUCCGGAUUUAUUGGGCGUAAAGCGAGCGCAGGCGGUUAGAUAAGUCUGAAGUUAAAGGCUGUGGCUUAACCAUAGUACGCUUUGGAAACUGUUUAACUUGAGUGCAAGAGGGGAGAGUGGAAUUCCAUGUGUAGCGGUGAAAUGCGUAGAUAUAUGGAGGAAC